AUGUUAAAUUUGCUUAGGAUGAAAACCGCUCCUCCGUGCGGAGGGUCACCACUUAAACAAAAGAUUUUCCAUGAAGAAUCUGGACAUGCUCAGCAUACUGAGAAUUAUACUUAUAAGAAAAUGAUAAAUAGCCAACUAGAAAGCACACUUCUCAUAAAAAAAACUAACUGUCACAAGCUUAAACAAAGGGAAUAG